CUUCUGUGUUUAGAGAGGUGCAAGUUGGACUGUGCAAUUGUUAGUUGUAGCUUGCUUAUCAAUUGCAACUAAAAUGGAGAGAUUAAAGUGCCUUAAUCUAUAGAAUUAAAGGCUACUUCCUACUUCCUUGACAAGAUCACUUGUUAGCAGCAUCCAGUAAAGUCAUCCAUUUUAAGAUCAGUGAAGCUCAUCCUUAGCAUAAUCAAAGAGUUUGAUAAAGAAGGAUAAGUAAGACUGAAAUUGACAAUAAUCCUUAGUUGCGAAUAGCAUUAGAAGUUUUUGUGUCAAGUCUUUGCAAUUACCAUGGAGGAACAAGUCUAGAAUCAAGACACCGUGUCUCAUUCAUAACCCGUGUGACACGCAAUCCAUGAAACUAGCAAAAUCAGUGGAUUUCCAAUGAUGCUAGUAUAUCAAUUGGUAUUCUGAAUUAACCAAACAGGUAUGGUUAAAUGGUGACUGUGAAACUAUAUCAUGAUGUCAUGCAUAUACUGUUUGUAUGAA